UACGGAGGGUGCAAGCGUUAUCCGGAUUCACUGGGUUUAAAGGGUGCGUAGGCGGGCAGAUAAGUCAGUGGUGAAAUCCCCGAGCUUAACUUGGGAACUGCCAUUGAUACUAUUUGUCUUGAAUGUCGUGGAGGUUAGCGGAAUAUGUCAUGUAGCGGUGAAAUGCUUAGAUAUGACAUAGAACACCCAUUGCGAAGGCAGCUAACUACGCGAAUAUUGACGCUGAGGCGCGAAAGCGUGGGGAUCAAACAGG
rnacentral:rRNA from 1 species